GCAGUAGCCACGGUAAUACGGAGGGAGCUAGCGUUGUUCGGAAUUACUGGGCGUAAAGCGCGCGUAGGCGGUUACUCAAGUCAGAGGUGAAAGCCCGGGGCUCAACCCCGGAACUGCCUUUGAAACUAGGUGACUAGAAUCUUGGAGAGGUCAGUGGAAUUCCGAGUGUAGAGGUGAAAUUCGUAGAUAUUCGGAAGAACACCAGUGGCGAAGGCGACUGACUGGACAAGUAUUGACGCUGAGGUGCGAAAGCGUGGGGAGCAAACAGGAUUAGAUACCCGGGUAGUCCCUGUCUCUUAUAC
rnacentral:rRNA from 1 species